rnacentral:rRNA from 1 species
CCUACGGGGGGCAGCAGUGAGGAAUAUUGGUCAAUGGACGAGAGUCUGAACCAGCCAAGUAGCGUGAAGGAUGACUGCCCUAUGGGUUGUAAACUUCUUUUAUAUGGGAAUAAAAUGUUCCACGUGUGGGAUUUUGUAUGUACCAUAUGAAUAAGGUUCGGCUAACUCCGUGCCAGCAGCCGCGGUAAUACGGAGGAUCCGAGCGUUAUCCGGAUUUAUUGGGUUUGAAGGGAGCGUAGGUGGAUUGUUAAGUUAGUUGUGAAAGUUUGCGGCUCAACCGUACAAUUGCAGUUGAAACUGGCAGUCUUGAGUACAGUAGAGGUGGGCGGAAUUCGUGGUGUAGCGGUGAAAUGCUUAGAUAUCACGAAGAACUCCGAUUGCGAAGGCAGUUCACUGGACUGCAACUGACACUGAGGCUCGAAAGUGUGGGUAUCAAACAGGAUUAGAUACCCCAGUAGUC